rnacentral:rRNA from 1 species
GCAUCAUGGCCUGUACCCGAAACCGACACAGGUGGGGUGGUAGAGAAUACCGAGGGGCGCGAGGUAACUCUCUCUAAGGAACUCGGCAAAAUGGCCCCGUAACUUCGGGAGAAGGGGUGCCACCGCAAGGUGGUCGCAGUGAAGAGGCCCAGGCGACUGUUUACCAAAAACACAGGUCUCCGCUAAGUCGCAAGACGAUGUAUGGGGGCUGACGCCUGCCCAGUGCCGGAAGGUUAAGGAAGCUGGUCAGCGCAAGCGAAGCUAGCGACUGAAGCCCCGGUGAACGGCGGCCGUAACUAUAACGGUCCUAAGGUAGCGAAAUUCCUUGUCGGGCAAGUUCCGACCCGCACGAAAGGCGUAACGAUCUGGGCGCUGUCUCGGAGAGAGGCUCGGCGAAAUAGAAUUGUCUGUGAAGAUGCGGACUACGUGCACCCGGACAGAAAGACCCUAUGAAGCUUUACUGUAGCUUGGUAUUGUGCCCGGGCUCGCAAUGCGCAGGAUAGGUGGGAGGCUUUGAUCAUCGGCUUGCGGGUCGAUGUGAGCCAACGGUGAGAUACCACUAUUUGCGAGCUAGGGUUCUAACGGCCACCCGUCAUCCGGGGGCCGGACAGUACCUGGUGGGCAGUUUGACUGGGGCGGUCGCCUCCUAAAAGGUAACGGAGGCGCGCAAAGGUUUGCUCAGGCUGGUUGGAAAUCAGCCGACGAGUGUAAAAGCAGAAGCAAGCUUGACUGUGAGACCAACAAGUCGAACAGGGAGGAAACUCGGCUUUAGUGAUCCGACGGUUCUGAGUGGAAGGGCCGUCGCUCAACGGAUAAAAGUUACUCUAGGAUAACAGGCUGAUCUCCCCCAAGAGUUCACAUCGACGGGGAGGUUUGGCACCUCGAUGUCGGCUCAUCGCAACCUGGGGCUGAAGUCGGUCCCAAGGGUUGGGCUGUUCGCCCAUUAAAGCGGUACGCGAGCUGGGUUCAGAACGUCGUGAGACAGUUCGGUCCAUAUCCGGUGCACGCGCAGGAAUAUUGAGAGGAUUUCUCCCUAGUACGAGAGGACCGGGAGGAACGCACCUCUGGUGUACCAGUUAUCGUGCCAACGGUAAACGCUGGGUAGCCAUGUGCGGAGUGGAUAACCGCUGAAAGCAUCUAAGUGGGAAGCCCACCUCAAGAUGAGUAUUCCCAUGGCGUAAGCCAGUAAGGUCACGGGAAGAACACCCGUUGAUAGGCUCUAUGUGGAAGCGCAGUAAUGCGUGAAGCAGAGGAGUACUAAUAGACCGAGGGCUUGACC